GAGAGAGAAAGAAAAAAAAAAUGUAGAGAGCAAAACAAUGCGGGGAGAUCUGGGCUGCAGGGCGCCCGGCGGGGCGGGCAGCUGCAGAGCGGCUCCGGGAGCGGCUGGCCGCUCCGCACGGGCACGGCAGGGACAGGGACAGGGCGGGGGGCACGGCUGCCCACAGCCCUGAGUGCCGCCGCAGGAGCCACGAGCUGCAAUAUUUUGCCAGUAGAGAGUUUUGUCUGAGAAGUGAAUUUUCUUAUACAGACCAUACCACCAGUCACAUCAGAGUUCCUGACAAUCAAAGGCAGAGGUGAAGUUGAAAAUACAAAGUCCUGAUCUUUCUGGACAGCAAAGACUCCUCUUCUUGCAUCACUAUGCCUAUGGCAGAUCAGGCUCUUUAUCUCCUCCUGAAACAUGGGAACUGGAGCCUCUCUGCUAUCCUGCACUUCUCCCCACCUGGGGCUCUUCAGCAACACCAGUAGCAGGCGUUUCUUCCCUGCUAAAUGGUCAACACCUUCAGUCCAUUAAUGAGGGAUACCACUUGGUCACCUCAAAGCUCACAUCACUGCAGUGUGAGCAGAGCUGGCAGAAUUCUGAACCCAGACUGGAAGGUAUGUCCCUUCAGGUGAAGACAGCCAUGAAGCACACACACCCUGCAGAAUGACCAUGAUAUGGACUUCAGUUCUUCAGACAGGCAUCAUAAGAAGAAAGAAGAAACAGUGAUGAAUUCACCCUGUGUAUUAAGGACCUCUACCACCUCCUCCCAUUAACCGCCACCUUACAUCCUCAUCCUGCACCUCUGGAAGCUCAUUUGUUAGUGCAAUGUCAUGGGUUCUCUUUGGUGCCUCAACUCAGGGUGCUGGUUGGAGGCAGCUGAGUGUUUCCUAGCCCAGACUGAGAGGGCAAACCUGCUCCCUCUGGACUCCAUAUCCCUGUGAGCAGAAUGACAAAACAUUUGUUGCAAAAGUUUGUGAAGAAUUGCUGCAGAGUCACUUGGAGCAGGCUAUUGAUAAGACUUAGAGGCUGUGAAUGGGAACAAAAAAUCUCACAGACACAGUACAAGAAUUAAUCAUUUUGAAUCAUAAUAAUUUGUCAUGGAAAAAAAAAUACCACUGAGAUCAAAAGCAAUUUUACAGGAGUGAUCACUCUGACAGAAGCAGCAUGUGGAGCUGUGCGUAUUAUAGCAGGCACAGCCUACGGGAAAUGUGCACACAGCUAUCAGCAGGGCAUGCACCAAAAAGCAAAACAUUCAGAUGAACUUUUCAGCCAAAUGGUAGACAGUAUUGCAGCCAAUGGCAAGAGGAGUGUUAACCUGACAGAAAAGCAGUAUGUGCUACUUCAAGUUGGACAGUGAUGCCUAAACCAAUGCAAUACGACAAUCUCAGUUAUUCACAGUGACAGAAAAGCCAAAGGAAGAAGACGGAAGUCCAUUCGUGGGUAAAAGUAUGUCCGUUCCACAGCUUCCUCAGGAGAAUGUCUUCACUGGGGAAGCAAAGGAGAAAAACAGCUUAAGAAAAAUCUCAGGACAUUUUCCAUAGCAUAGUGACAAACUGCACCUUUUCCAGUUUGUUAGCUAUUAUAUAUGUCUCCAGAAGGGAAAGAAUCAGUGGUACAUAUUCAUCUUUCACCAUUUACCCUAGGAUGAAAGUCUGUAGAAAAGUAUGUGUACUUUUUAUCCACCUUCAGCAAGGUGGCUGCUGCUGUAUAUUCCCUGCAUCUGUUGCCAGUAUAGAGGUGACAUUUGUAUGGUAUUCUGUUUAAAGGGAAUGGAAGGGUGAUUUACCUUGUGUUGAAUAAAAAUACUGAGAAGAUCAUGAGGUGGUUAGCUAGGCAUGGAUAAACCCUUGAGAAGGCAUGAAGAUAGCCCACAUUGCCUGAAAAUGAAAAGUGACACGGGAAAAUCCAAGACUCAUCACAGAUGCCAAAAUGAAACUAAAUCAAGCAAAACCUCAGGAGACAAAGGUUCCUCAAAAGCAAAGCAGACUUCGCUUUACAUAGGCUGGAAAAACAAAGCUGCGUACCCGAUGCUGCUUUUCUUUCUUUGCUGAGCUAGCCCAAAUAGAAGAUAUUACAGAUGAGUGUAUGUGUCAAAAGCAUUGGAUUAGUUGGGAUGCAGCUGACAUAACUGUAAGUGACAGCGACGUUAUUUAGUUUAAGUAGUUUGCAGUUAAGUAUAGACUUAGACAUAAUCCUGCCAAUGGAACAGUUCCCACCCUAAUACUUGAGUGGGAAAUGGUGCCAGAUUAAUAAAGAGUUUAUUGAAAAGAAACCAGAGCCAGAGCCUGAUCCACAUUUAGAACAACUUGAGUUCCAGGGCAGCAUCAGUGAUGCAUGGGGCUAUCACCUGAGGACAUUUUUUCCUAUGGAAAACUGAAAUUCAGACUAGCUGCAUUAUUAGACACCAGAGACUUGUAGAAAUGGAGGGUGAGACAGCAAGUUAAACUCUUCAGUUGAACUCAGUGUUCUCAAAUCCAUCUCCUCCCAGAAUAAGGGUCAGAGCUGAUACCAACUUCAUGGGGGAUUUUGAGCCUCCUGGCAGUUACAGAUGUGUGAUUUUAAGAGUAAUUGCUGCAUUUUUUUUUUCUGCAACAUGCACUCCAUACCCACUGCAGACCAUCAGCAUAUACUGAUUGUAAUCCCUGUCCCGCUCCGCUCUUUUGACUCGUAUCACAGCAUCACUCUUUGGCAUGUGUGAAAGACACAAGGAUUUUGUUUUAUGUUAUGGAAAUAGGGUCAGUCACAUCCGUAACGCAAAUUUGUGGCGUACACCGCCUCAGGGCUCUUUCAGGUAUUGCAUUUAUGCAGUCCUGUAUUCAGAAUGCUUCUUUAAAUGCAGCAGGUCAUGUUAUUUCUGAAGCGUUAUUUCAGAGUGACUUUUACACGUUAUAAACAGUUCAUUGGAAGAUGAAGAAAAUAGUGUGAUGUUGUCUAGAUGAUAAGUAUCUUUAUUUUAUGGAAAAAACAGCUGCAAACACAUUGUCGACAAACAAAAUAUACAAAAUCUAAGCAGAUACAGGAAAAUACCCUAAAUACCAACAGCAGUCGGCCUUCAUAGCCGCUGCCACAGAGUACCGAAAUUCACGCCACGGCAGCCCCGGUAGCCAGCUCAGGAGAAGGCGGAUCGGACAGAGGCAGGGCCGGCCCGAAGGGAGGUUUUGCUGUCACUAAAAACCAAAACGUCUCAGCCGCAGCGCCGCCCGCCAUGCCCGCAGCCAGGCGGCCGUUGCGCCGCGCCGCCGCUGGGUGUCGCCCACGGUGGGGCCGCGGCGUGGAGGCGGGACGCGUGGCGCUGCACAAAAGGAGCAGCGCCGUUGUGGUGGCCGUCGCCAUCUUGGCUCAUCGCCUCUGUUGGCAUGGGGCGGGGGGAGGCGGGGACGGCUGCUCGCCCGAAGGCGAGGUUUAACCCUCUGGAGUCCGCCGUCGCUGCCAUGGGUUGGGACGCAUCUUGUCUGUUAACGGCGUAGCAACGCCUUCACGGGCGGGGUGGGCGGCUGACAAAAAGCAUUGCUCACGGCUUUGCGUGCGAGGAGGGAGCAUGCAGCGACAGUGGCGAGCGGGGCUGCGCGGGUUUUGAAGAGCAGUUGAUACCACAAAGGAAUGCAGCAUACAGUGUGUGCUUUAGGCUUUGCGAGCAACUGAUAUAAUUUGCUGGAAAAUUGAAUUUGAGGGCACAGAGAAAAUCAAAUCAGGGACAGAAAAGUGAUAAGAAUGCUGAGCAAGGGCUUGUCCUAGAAAUCAUAGAUGAAGACUGAUUUUGCUGCUGUAGAAAUGGCAGAGCGCUCCCAGCUGCCUGGAAACGAAACAAGGACAUUGGAGGUACUGGGAGGCACAAAUAUGCAGCGGUUGUUCUUGGUUUAUAUCCUGGAAACCAGAAAUCAAAGCUGGGAAAAUCAGCACACCUUGCUGGUCCUUUCACAUAGCUCAAACCUUCCUGUUCGUUAUCCCGAAAGCUGGCCCCCAGAGCUGGAUGUGGAAAGUGCCUUUGGUGAACACAUGGAUGGCGUUGCCAGGUGCCCCAUCCCCAGGGCAGCCCUGUGAGCAAGCAGCCAUGGACCACGAGGCAAGGCACAGCAGGUUCAGGUUCAUUACAGUGCCGCGUUUCAUGUUUGGCAUUCUCUCUUUGUGAAAAUGUCAAAAGUUGUUGGGAGAGGCACAGUGUUGGCUGGGGCUGUUGAUUAGCAACACAUCACAGCUAGAUACGUUCUUGUGACACUGCUGUUUGCAACCGCUCACAUGUAGGAGUACUGUAAACGCUUUACAAAAGAAUAAGAAAAAUGAAAGUGGAAAUUAGCAGAUGAGAAGUUUGUAGAAGUGACUCAGCAUGACAACCACAUGCAAGGGUGAAAGAUACUCAACACUUUAGCCAAGCAAAGAGCUCCAGUCUGCUUGACAUAAACUUUGAUGUGGAUAUUUUGAUGUUUAAAAGUAGACUCCGUAUCAAGUCAAUACAGAAUCAAGUGUUUUUAACAGGAAAACUGCUAAACCUCUAUGAGGCCCCAUCAUUGUCUCUGAAACGUUCAAAAUGACAGAACUGAUAAAAAAUGAAUACUUCAGGAAUUUAUCAUAUUCUGGAACAUUUUUCAAGUGAAGUAUGUUUUUAGAAAUGAUCAGCUUUGAAAAUGCCUUAAUAAAACUGAUCAGUUUUGGCAUGACAUAAUUCUGUAUUCAUUCUAUGUUCCAGAGAAUGCAGUAUCAUCUUGGUUGAUCACUGUUCAGUAAAAACCUCUAGUUUAGCUCAAGCAGCAUUUUGGAGGCAGGCUGUCACCUUUCCUGCGUGGGAUUUUCCCUUAGGAUGCUGCUACCCUUAGACAGCAGGAAUGGGAGCUCUCCUUGCAUUUAUACCCUGCCUUCCACAAACUGAGGAGGAGGGGGACAGAGUGCAGCCCUGGUUUGUGCCCUGGUAGGUCUUUGCCCAGCCACAGCUGUCACCUGCCAAGUGGCGGUGUGAUAAUAUGAAAUAUGAUGCUUUCCUUUUCUGCCUGUUUCCUUGCCUACUCAGUCCGUGAACUUUCCAAAAUAGCUGACUACAGCCCUUCAUCAGAGCUUACAGAGAGAGAAGUCUUAUAUCUCCUUAAUAAAAUGAGACAUCUAAAGAGAGCUGGGAAUCCUCCUGGGAUCGAAGGAAACUCAUCACAGCAAACUGCUGUUUAAAUUCGGCUUUAAAAUUUUGCAGUUCAAGUGACAAAUCUACAGACAUCAAUAUCAGCAGUGCUGAUACAAGAAGCAUUGGCAAUCUUUGAGAAGACAUCUAACAAUAGCAGCAGAGACAGAUUGUGAGCCAGUUGUGUUCUGUUUGUUUUGUCCUCCUCAUACACAGGCACGCACCCUCAGUAGUGAGCUGUUCAGGCAACAAAUCGCUGACAAGUGUGCAAUGACAAGCCUGUCUAGACAGGCUUAAAUCAUCCCUGAUGGUUAUAUCUGUGUACUUCUUAUGGUCAGUACAAGUAUCAGUUUGAUAGAAUUUAGCUAGAAUACCCACUAGUUGAAAAUAUCUUUAAAAACAAGCAAACCAACAUGUUGAGCUGGAGUUGGUAGUCACUAGCCUGCUAACUUUCUGUGUUGGCAGAUAGGUAUAACAGGCCAUGGAGAAACAUCAAAUGUGUACUAGAAGGAAUUCAUGAAUACAAAAUUUUUCCUUUAUGUUUUGGCUAAUCUACCACAUGUAACAGCUUUACUGAUUUCUGUGUUUUAAGCAUGAGCAAUGUUUUAUAGUUAUUCUAAAUCCUGCUACAGAAAAAGUGUUGGGAGUCCCAAAAGUUGCUGUGUGCGUUUUUUGUCAUGGCCCAAUGCCAAUAAAGACAUAAAAGGAGCAAAGGAGUAUCUUGCAACUGCUACAAGAUGAGACAUACUGAAGCCAGUCCCCCCUUGAAGAAUCUGUAUCCGUUUCUCUAGUUGGCAGGUUAGAUAUGAGUUCAACAGAGAGCUGUACUUGUUUGGAGUGUUAAUUCUAUUCUUUGUUUGUGAAUUUAUCCAUAGAAUAAAUAAAACAUGAACAGCAGCAGUGUAACUGUUCACCCAAGAUCUGCCCAUCCUGAAUAAAAGCAAACUGUGACAGGUAGGAGGGCUAUUCUGUACUUCUGCUAACCCAGCCAGUACGAUGGUACAGGUGACAGAAAUCUUUAUGCAAGAUAAUAUCUGUCUGUUUUAUAUGGGUGACCAUCAGAUGAUAACACAUUCAGGCUGCUGAACUGAAUUUGAACAGGCAAGUGACAUUCCUUUGCCUGUCAGCCAGCAGUUGUAGUCAUUGUCCUGGGCACAGUUGUUUUAAAUAAAAUCACAGAUGUCGAAGUCUUCCUCUCCUUUGCUCCUAGUUGCAGAACAUAGCUUGUGGCAGCUGAGUUUCUGGUGCUUUCAAGCUGAUUUUGAGGGCCAUAUAAAAAUAAGUUGUUUGUUUAACCCAAAGUAAGCAGAGAAGGAAGUCUUUCACACAAAUGGUAAAGAUCCUCAAUUCAGGCCCUUUAAUGUAGCAGAAAGGAGUCAUAAAAGUCUCACUUUUGCAGUAAAAGGAUUCCUUUGAUGAAGAGAAUGUGGAUUAAGCUUUGCAGAUAUCUUCUAAACUCCAGUACAAGGUAAAAUCCAGCCUUUCAUUUCUGUUGGAAUGCAACUGGCCAACUUCCGUUACCCUCUGAGCCACCUUAGAGGGUAAAGGGGCUAUGAACUUUGCAGAGGUUCACAAGUGGCAUGUGACAUCCCACCAGUCUGCUGCAAGCACAAUGCUUUUAUUUUGAGACCGCUGGAGAUGGAAUCUGGGAAUCUACUGUGUGGCAAAAUCUUCCUGUAGUAUAUGGAACUCCAUCGAAGUCAGGCUGGUAUGAAACUGCUCUGAGAUCACAUGUCAUAAUAAAGCUGAUUUCUGGACAAGAUUGGAACUGACUGGAGUGUAAAUGAUGGCAGGAAUUAAAGAACACAAAUUUAUCUGCAGUCACUGCUCCAAGUGAGGGGAGAAUAUUUCUGAAUCCUAACAUCAGCACAUAUGGUGGAAAAAAGGGCCUGCCCUUCCAGUGAGGAAACAGCAUUGUCAGGAUGGAGUCUUCGUAUGCUCCUUAAGGAGACUCUGCUGAACACACCAGCAGCUUUUCGUGGACCAGAGGCAACUGGAACAGAUCUCAGCAGUGCCUCAGACUCAGGGCAGCAGUGAAGAAAACAGUCCAUGGGUUUGUCCUUUGCCACCUCUGCUGCUGUUACUGUGUUAAUCGCUUGAGGUUGUUUCAUCAACGUGAGCAUGGAUUUUCAUCUGCAAAUAGUAAUAGCUGAAGGAAAAGCCAACAAGUCUGUUUGCAGGGAGAGGCCAGACUUGCAAUUAUGCGAGUUCAGAUGGGAACUUGUGUGCAUUUGAUACAGAAGAAUUCAAAAAAGAAAACCUGAUGUAAGGAAAGAAAUAGAAUAUGAUAUAGUUGAUCCUGAUUCCAGCUUAGAAAUUCCAUAGGAAGAAGGCAACAAAUGUUCAGAUGCAAGAGGAGUAUUUGGGGCUUACCGCAAAUACCAGAUGACAUCAGUGUUUUCAGUGCUGUGUUGACAGAAGUACCAGUUGCUCUGAGUUGUAUUUGCAUGCCUCAUGCUCAUCAGGGUACAUCACUUCUCAGAUGUUUUGCACAUCAGAAGAAAAGAAAUCAAAAAGAAUUUCUUCAGAGCGCUAAGACAGAGAGGGUUUCGAAAUGAAAAGUGAAAAUGGCUAAGAAUGUAUUUUUUUACUCAGUACCCUGCCUGCCUAUUUGAGUCAUAUUUAAUUCUGCCUUAAUUUUGACACAGCAGUAGCAGGCCAAGAAAUGUCUUGGGCUGAGUUGUACAGUUUGCAACAUUAAAGCCCUGUAGCAAGUUUCUCACUACUAGAAGGCCACUUUCUGCCAUUUAUGUUUUCCACUAAAUAGUUUGCAAACACCAUAUUUUACGAUGAUUUAGGUGACUUUAAUCCCUCAUGGUUUCAUAAAGUCGCGAACAUCAGCCUGUAAGCAAACA